CAAACAUUUUCGCAGUCUUAAUGUUAACAGGCAAAAAUGGCAGGCACAAGCAAGAGUAUUAAAGGGUCACAGGAGUAAAAUGAAAGCAUUCAAGUGGAUUUUGCAACACUCAACCGCAGAAAAUAGAUGGCUGAAAAAGACAGAUCCUCCGACGUAACUCAUUUCCGUUUUUUAGGACUACAAACUGAGACAACCAGGAAGUAAGAAGAGUGGUGAAUUUGCCUGUGUGUAGAGCUCCUUGCAUACUGGUUGUGGAAGUGGGUGAGACAACGCACCACAAACACUGUCUGGCAACAUGUCUCAACCUAAAGGCAAGUACCAUGACGCUCUUCAUAAUAAACUAG
ensembl:lncRNA